rnacentral:lncRNA from 1 species
AGGAAAGUCCACAAUUUUUGUCCAAACACUGAAGAGCCAGAAAAUCCCAUAAUUCUUAGUCCAUGAAGAUAAAAGACAAAACAAGAGGAAUCAAUGAUGCUGCACCAGUCCAAGAUCAAAGGCCUGUAAGUUCACUGGAGUCUCUAGUUUGAAGCUGUGUUCGAAACCUGAAGAAACUGGAGAUCUGAAAAUCAGUGUCCAAAAAUGAAGACAGCACAAAGUGCACCUAGUCAAGAAGACUGCCCCUCUUCAGAAUGAGCACACUUCGUUCUUCUUUUUCUUUUUAUUCCAUCAAGGCCAGCACCCAUCUGUAGUGCCCCUCACAUUCAAGGACGCGAGGCCUAGUUCUUCAUGGAUGAGAGAGGUCUUACGAUGCUGCUGAAAGUGUGAAUCCAUUCAAAUGAAGGAAUUGUUGAAUUUGCCAAUACUCAGGAGGAUCUUAUCACAAUAAGGACUAAAUUCUCUCCUUAUGCGAGUGUGGAAAGGAGCUAAGCCUUCCAGGUUUCAUGUGGACAACAGCAAUGAGCUCUUGUUCCCCAACAUCAUCUGCAGCAUGGGUAGCAUCAGUGGUUUCGACAUUGGCUAUUCUUUUGACAUGCAUAACGGUAUCUCCCUGUUGUUUUCAUUUGCAGUUCUCUAAUGACAUAUGGUUUUGAGUUGGCUAUAGUUUGGAUCUAAAAUGUCCCAUAAAGGUUCAGGUGGUAAAACCUU